rnacentral:rRNA from 1 species
CCCUUAGAUGUUCUGGGCCGCACGCGCGCUACACUGUUCGACGCAGCGAGUCUUAACCUUGACCGAAAGGUUUGGGUAAUCUUCAGCAAAGUCGAACGUGAUGGGGAUCGAUAAUUGCAAUUAUUGAUCGUGAACGAGGAAUUCCUAGUAAGUGCAAGUCAUCAGCUUGCGCUGAUUACGUCCCUGCCCUUUGUACACACCGCCCGUCGCUACUACCGAUUGAAUGGUUUAGUGAGAUCUCUGGAUUGACGCUGGCUAGGGGGCGACCCUUGGCCAGACUGUUGAGAAACUGCUCAAACUUGAUCAUUUAGAGGAAGUAAAAGUCGUAACA